UACAGAGGGUGCGAGCGUUGUCCGGAAUCACUGGGCGUAAAGGGUGAGUAGGUGGCCUGUUAAGCGUGUGGUGAAAGCCUGGGGCUCAACCCCAGGUCUGCCGUGCGAACUGACAGGCUUGAGCAGAGUAGAGGCGAGUGGAAUUCGGGUGUAGCGGUGGAAUGCGUAGAUAGUCCGAAAGAACACCGGUGGCGAAGGCGACUCGCUGGGCUCUUGCUGACACUGAAUCACGACAGCGUGGGGAGCAAACAGGAUUAGAUACCC
rnacentral:rRNA from 1 species